UCCGGAAUACGUAGGUGGCAAGCGUUAUCCGGAAUUAUUGGGCGUAAAGCGCGCGUAGGCGGUUUUUUAAGUCUGAUGUGAAAGCCCACGGCUCAACCGUGGAGGGUCAUUGGAAACUGGAAAACUUGAGUGCAGAAGAGGAAAGUGGAAUUCCAUGUGUAGCGGUGAAAUGCGCAGAGAUAUGGAGGAACACCAGUGGCGAAGGCGACUUUCUGGUCUGUAACUGACGCUGAUGUGCGAAAGCGUGGGGAUCAAACAGGAUUAGAUACCCUGGUAGUCCACGCCGUAAACGAUGAGUGCUAAGUGUUAGGGGGUUUCCGCCCCUUAGUGCUGCAGCUAACGCAUUAAGCACUCCGCCUGGGGAGUACGACCGCAAGGUU
rnacentral:rRNA from 1 species